GCCCAAAACAUCUAGCCACGCCACACCCAUAAGGGUUCUCAGCAGUGAUUAACAUUAAAAAUAAACGUCAGUUUGAUUUAGCCAAAUGAAUACAGAGCCGGCCAAUCUGGUGCCAGCCGCCGCGGUUACACCACGUGGCUCAAAUUGAUUUUAACACGGCGUAAAGCGUGAUUAAAGAAAUACUCCUGGGGUCAAAAUUAAAUUAAGCUGUCGCACGACUAUUUUUAAGAAGCCCUACUUCGAAAGAUACCCCAAUACACCAACUUGAAUUCACGACAACUAGAAUACAAACUGGGAUUAGAUACCCCACUAUGCCUAGUCGUAAACUUUAACUUACACCUUAUCGCCAGGGAACUACGAGCAAAGCUUAAAACCCAAAGGACUUGACGGUGCCCCACAUCCUCCUAGAGGAGCCUGUCCUAUAAUCGAUUAUCCCCGUUCAACCUCACCAUUUUUAGCUUAUCAGCCUGUAUACUUCCGUCGUCAGCCUACCGCGUGAGCGAACAGUAAACUCAAUGUCUCUCAUCAAUACGUCAGGUCAAAGUGCAGCAUAUAAAAUGGCAAGAGAUGGGCUACACUCUCUACCAUAGAAAACACAAAAGAUUAUGUGAAACCAUAUUCGGAAGGUGGAUUUAGUAGUAAGGGGGAAUUAGAAUACCUCCCUUAACUUGGCACUGGGGGUGUGUACACACCGCCCGUCACCCUCUU
rnacentral:rRNA from 1 species